rnacentral:rRNA from 1 species
GACGAACGCUGGCGGCGUGCUUAACACAUGCAAGUCGAACGGAAAGGCCUCUUUCGGGGGGUACUCGAGUGGCGAACGGGUGAGUAACACGUGAGUGACCUGCCCUUGACUUUGGGAUAACUUCAGGAAACUGGGGCUAAUACCGGAUAGGAGCUCCUGCUGCAUGGUGGGGGUUGGAAAGUUUCGGCGGUUGGGGAUGGACUCGCGGCUUAUCAGCUUGUUGGUGGGGUAGUGGCUUACCAAGGCUUUGACGGGUAGCCGGCCUGAGAGGGUGACCGGCCACAUUGGGACUGAGAUACGGCCCAGACUCCUACGGGAGGCAGCAGUGGGGAAUAUUGCACAAUGGGUGGAAGCCUGAUGCAGCAACGCCGUGUGCGGGAUGACGGCCUUCGGGUUGUAAACCGCUUUCGCUCAUGACGAAGCUUUGUGUGACGGUAGUGGGUAAAGAAGCACCGGCUAACUACGUG